ensembl:lncRNA
GGAGACUUCAAGGGCUGCAGCACGGCGAGGAAAGGAAGGGUGGGGUUUUCCUUGUUACGGGUAAUGACUACGCAGCUUUCUGGGAAUGCAUAUUUUGGGAAGAACACUGACAUUAUUUAAAAAAAAAAAAAAAAAGGUGAGAUUAUGACACAGAAAGAAAUGACCCUUACCAGGAGGAAGUAGAAAGAAAAAAAGAGGAAGUGACUAGAGCAAAGGAAGACAAAAGGAAAUUUGGCACAACAGGAUGUGAAAAUAGAGAAGCAACUUUUCCAAAAUUGUAAGUGGUGGAGAGAAGUUUUUCCAAGGAGAAAACCUGGGCUAAGUAUUAAAAACAACAACAACAAAAUCAGACAGAAAUGAAAGAGAAGAAGGAUGGUGAAAAGGGGAAAUGGGGGAGAAUAUUCUGUGCAGAAAUAACAGUAUGAAAGAGGCUGGUCAGCAAGUGACAGCAGAUUGCAGUGGAAAAAUCACAAGUUGUUCAAUGUUACUGGAGUUUUCAAGGCAUGUUGGGGGGUAGAAAGAAUUGAAAUUAGAAUGAUGGGCAUAGGUCAGAUCACAAUGGGCUAGCCAUGUCCUGAAAAAGAGUUUGAACUUUAUUCUGAAACCACUGAAGCAUGAAAUAAGGAAAACAAAAGAAUAAGAAUAAGAAUGUUGUUAUUGUGUGGGCUGAAUAAUGGUCCCCCGAAGAUGGUUUCACAUCCUGAUAUGGUUUGGGUGUUUGGUGCCUCGCAAAAACAGAGCCCCACACUUAGUUUAAUGCCCUGCUGUUGCUCUCUUGAAAUUUUUAAUAAUUACUUUACAAGGGGCUAUUCUGCAUUUUCAUUUUGCACUGGGCCUCACAAAUUAUGUAGCCAGUAUUGCCUAAUUCUAACAUUAAUCCUGAAAAACAAAAAAUUAUACUCACUUUAUAAACCAAGACACUGAAAAUCUCAGAGAGGGAGUAUAAUCCAGUAAUAAAUGCCUUUAGUCAGGUAAAUUCUGCUACUUGCCAGUCAGGGCCCCUAGGACAAGCUUCCUAAUUCCUUCCAAACCUCACUUUCUUCUUUUGCACAGUAAUUACAAUAUCUGCCUUGCAGAGUGGUCAUGAGCAGUAGAAAUAACAUAUGUAAAGUACUGACACAGUGCUGGCAGAUCAGAAGAACUCGGAUGGUAGUUGCUAUUGCUCAAAGUUCCAGACUUAGUAAGAGUUGAAGAAGGAUUUCAUGCCUAUAGUUUCUUUUUUUUCUCUCAGACUUGUAUUUUGGAGGAUCAUUCUGGCACAAUGUGGAUGGUGAAAUGUAAGACUAGAGGCAAGAAGACCAGUUCAGAAACUGUGGCAAUGUCAUAGACAAUUUCUGGAAAGACUGUCCAUCUCAUGCCGUCUCUUUUUUCUUUGAUAUUUGCCUCUAAUAUGUAGAAGUCAUCCUCCAGAGCUGUGUCCUCAUCACAUGACUCAACCUUCCUAACCUUCUUAAUCUUUGCUGGUGCCCAGAUUUCCCCAGAAAUUUGGAAUUUUGAUCCAAGAGAUGCAGAGGCUGAGCAUUGUUGGAACCAAGUCAUAUUCAUAGCAGACUUUCCAGAGAAGGCCCAGAACAACCUGCUUGCUGCUGAGGUCCCCAGAGCCACUCUGAAGCCUGCCUCUCCGCAAUGAUUUCUCAGUUUCUCCUUUCAUUCCACACAUGUAUACAUUCAAUAA